rnacentral:rRNA from 1 species
UACGAAGGGUGCAAGCGUUACUCGGAAUUACUGGGCGUAAAGCGUGCGUAGGUGGUUCGUUAAGUCUGAUGUGAAAGCCCUGGGCUCAACCUGGGAAUGGCAUUGGAUACUGGCGACCUAGAGUGCGGUAGAGGGGUGUGGAAUUCCCGGUGUAGCAGUGAAAUGCGUAGAUAUCUGGAGGAACACCGGUGGCGAAGGCGGCGUUCUGGACUGCAACUGACACUGAGGAACGAAAGCCAGGGGAGCAAACGGG